rnacentral:rRNA from 1 species
GACAGAGGGUGCAAGCGUUGUUCGGAAUUACUGGGCGUAAAGGGCGCGUAGGCGGUCCGCUAAGUUCGGCGUGAAAUCCCCUGGCUCAACUGGGGAACGGCGCUGGAUACUGGUGGACUCGAGUACCGGAGAGGAGAGUGGAAUUCCUGGUGUAGCGGUGAAAUGCGUAGAUAUCAGGAGGAACACCGGUGGCGAAGGCGGGUCUCUGGGCAGUAACUGACGCUGAGGAGCGAAAGCGUGGGGAGCGAACAGG